rnacentral:rRNA from 1 species
AAAUUGAAGAGUUUGAUCAUGGCUCAGAUUGAACGCUGGCGGCAGGCCUAACACAUGCAAGUCGAACGGUAACAGGAAACAGCUUGCUGUUUUGCUGACGAGUGGCGGACGGGUGAGUAAUGUCUGGGAAACUGCCUGAUGGAGGGGGAUAACUACUGGAAACGGUAGCUAAUACCGCAUAACGUCGC